GUGGGGAAUAUUGCGCAAUGGGGGCAACCCUGACGCAGCAACGCCGCGUGAGUGAAGAAGGUUUUAGGAUUGUAAAGCUCUGUCUUUGGGGACGAAACAAAUGACGGUACCCAAGGAGGAAGCCCCGGCUAACUACGUGCCAGCAGCCGCGGUAAUACGUAGGGGGCAAGCGUUGUCCGGAAUUACUGGGCGUAAAGGGCACGCAGGCGGUAUAAUAAGUCAGAUGUGAAAGUUUACAGCUUAACUGUGAAAGUGCAUUUGAAACUGAUAUACUUGAGUCUCGGAGAGGUAAGCGGAAUUCCUAGUGUAGCGGUGAAAUGCGUAGAUAUUAGGAGGAACACCGGUGGCGAAGGCGGCUUACUGGACGAGUACUGACGCUCAUGUGCGAAAGCGUGGGGAGCAAACAGGAUUAGAAACCCGGGUAGUCC
rnacentral:rRNA from 1 species